rnacentral:rRNA from 1 species
GAUGACUGUAGGUGAAAGCUUACAUCUCUUCGGAGCAUUUUACGAGGUGGCUGCAUGGUUUGUCGUCAGCUCGUGCCGUGAGGUGUCGGGUUAAGUCCCAUAACGAGCGCAACCCCUACCUUUAGUUGCCAUCAGGUUAAGCUGGGGACUCUAAAGGAACUGCCUACGCAAGUAGUGAGGAAGGCGGGGAUGACGUCAAAUCAGCACGGCCCUUACGUCCAGGGCUACACACGUGCUACAAUGGCCGAUACAGAGGGCAGCUACCUGGUGACAGGAUGCAAAUCUCCAAAGUCGGUCUCAGUUCGGAUCGGAGUCUGCAACCCGACUCCGUGAAGUUGGAUUCGCUAGUAAUCGCGCAUCAGCCAUGGCGCGGUGAAUACGUUCCCGGGCCUU